CUGUACUGUUGAUUUAUCAUCGAAUCGAAGACGACUUUAGCUCAUCACAGCUCUUGUUAUUUCAAUUCCAGUGCCGUCAGAGCAAUUCUUCUGCAUUUAUGUGGUGUCCUUUCUUUAGUCCUAUGAUAUAUAACAAUCCAAAGUAGGCCAUCAUUUCCCCUCAGGUAACAGUGCAGUCUCUAUGAGUAUUUUGCCUUUAGUAAACUUAUAUAUUUAUUUGUAUAUUCCAAAAUUUCAUCAAGCAUGUUUAUAUCAACUAUUUUCAAAAAUGUUCCUGACUGCGAACCAGCAGGGUUUAUAUAGCUUUCGGCUUGUGUUCGAGAACAUUCUGAACUAAACCUGUAAGAAUUCGUUCCAGAAGGUUCUCCAUCCUUUAUAUCGUUAGCAUGGUGUUUUAGGCCAGGUAACGCUCACAAUAUUCAUCUUAUUCAUCUUACAGCAGUUUGCAUACUUCUGAUUUUGCCACUUAGAAGAUUUAUCCUUACUAACAUAGAAUGUAUCAUCAUCCUUCCAUUUUCCUAUAUCAUUAUUACAAUCAUCAUCUGAAAUAUAUUGUUCAGAUUUACUGCUGAUAUUAUUUAUCUCUAUAUUUUUCUCACUCAGAUAGCUACUAUUCUCGCAUCCAAAGGUUUUCUUGUCUUCUUUUUCUUCAUCAGAUAAUUCUUGAAGAAUACGAGCAAAAUCGUUUAGUUGCGCAUGUUCUUUUGCCAUGAAAACCGAUGUAAAAUUUACAUUCGAUGUAAAGUCGAAUUUAUACAAAUUAAAAUAAUACAUGUCAGUUAAUAACACAAAAUUACAAAAUAUUUGAGAAAAAUACGUUUCGAAUUUUCACCCUUGACCUCGCGCGUGUCGUAACUUUUACGAAGAAGCUGCUAUGUACCGCGAAAACCCAGUAGAAAAACAAAGUCAUAUGACUACCUGUUGGCACAUUCCAUGAUGUGAGGAAGGGUUGAAAGGAGGAAUAGAAAUGACAUUCAGACGUCUCAGCUGAGAUAUGCUUGACAAUCUUAUCUAUCGUUGACUUAGAUACAGAAAAAUCAUGGCUUUCACAGCAUUUUUAGUAACUAUAUACGAAUAAUUUUCUUCGGAAAGAGCACAAACAUAGCCUUCCGUCCAUUGCAUCCUUAAAAGGGUAAUUUUACAUGAAAACAAAGUUAAGUAGCAGACGAAAAUUUAUGCUUUCAAAACAUAGUUGUAUUUAAAAAAGAAUUUUGCAAGCAGGCGAUUUUUUACAGCAAAGCAAAGUCAUCUAAAAACUGUACGAACAGCCUUUGCAAAUCUUACUCAAAGAUUUGAAGAUACAGAUUUUAUUAAUUUUCCUUCGCAAUUGUCAAAAAUAAAUAAGCUCAGCUAUGCAUUUUUACGCUAAGAAUAAUCUCUUUGUUCGGGAAUGCAUUUAUAAUGGAACAGCUGUUUUUCACAGUUGAAGAUUAAUUAGAAAAAAACACAAUUAACUGAUGAGCAUCUAUAAUCCGUGAUGAAGAUAAUUUGUAAUAAUUUCUCUCCAACUCUACAAGAUGUCUCAAAAUCGAAAUGCCGUCAAACGUCAAACUGUAGUUAAAACUAAAAGACGUUUAUAAUUAUUUACACACAAAUAUAUGUAUUUCUAUUUAUGCGUCGAAAAAACAUUUAAUAAAUAAGUGAAAGACUAA
rnacentral:lncRNA from 1 species